rnacentral:rRNA from 1 species
CCUACGUGAGGCAGCAGUGGGGAAUAUUGCACAAUGGGGGAAACCCUGAUGCAGCGACGCCGCGUGAGUGAAGAAGUAUUUCGGUAUGUAAAGCUCUAUCAGCAGGGGAGAAAAUGACGGUACCUGACUAAGAAGCCCCGGCUAACUACGUGCCAGCAGCCGCGGUAAUACGUAGGGGGCAAGCGUUAUCCGGAUUUACUGGGUGUAAAGGGAGCGUAGACGGCAGCGCAAGUCUGAAGUGAAAUCCCAUGGCUAAACCAUGGAACUGCUUUGGAAACUGUGCAGCUGGAGGGCAGGAGAGGUAAGCGGAAUUCCUAGGGGAGCGGGGAAAUGCGUAGAUAUUAGGAGGAACACCAGUGGCGAAGGCGGCUUACUGGACUGUAACUGACGUUGAGGCUCGAAAGCGUGGGGAGCAAACAGGAUUAGAUAUCCGUGUAGUC